GGGGGGGGAGAAUUUUCGAGCGGAACUAUAAAGAGCGACUUAAGUGGAAGUUGGAUAAGAUUCCGAAAGAGAAAAUCAAUUCGUUUAGGGUCUUUGUGGUAUUUUUUUUUUCCCUGUUACAAGUUUCCUUUGAACUCAAGGGAACUAUUUGGGUAUUCUUGCCCAGAUUCUUGGCUACUGUUCGUGUUCUGAAGUUGGUGGUAAAGUCGUGGUCCUUCUAGGCUCGUCUCGUCUCGUUCGCUGCCCUAAAUAAGGUAAACAACUUAACUUUUUAGUAGAUUUCGAGUUUAAUAUGUCGGCUUGGGAUUUGGUUCAUUAUUCUUCUCUACAGUCAUGUUGAUACAAGAUAUGCUUGCGUGUUGUGUAUGUUGCCAGUCGUUUUGUUUCUAAGCUUGAAAAAAUGUCUCCGUGUGCGGACCUUUGCUUGAAAUGUUGAUGAUUCAUACUUAUAUUUUGUCUUGUGUGUGUUCACUGUUGGUUAGCUACCAUUGUUGGAUUUGCUCUCUUUACAUGUCGUAGGUCGAUUAUUUGCUUGUAUAUUGACCAACAUAACCAAUCUGGACCGAUUAGCUUACUGCCUAUAUCUCAUACCGAUUUUGGGUUGUUUAAAGCAUAUCUCUUUGGUCGAUCAGUGAAAUGAUGAGUUCAUUUAUAAGUUGACAUGAUUUGAUGCUUUAAAAUUCUUCACAAAGGGUCAUCUCAUAUUGUAUCUCGUGUUGGUCUUCUAAAAUAUGUUGUGGUCAAAUGCCGUGAUGGUUCAUGUUUGUUGUCGGUCUUGACAUGUCUUGCUACUCUUGCGGUCAUCAAAAAAAAAAAN
rnacentral:lncRNA from 1 species